rnacentral:tRNA from 1 species
GCCGCCGUAGCUCAGUGAUAGAGCAUCGGACGCGAUUCGAAGGUCGCAGGUUCGGUCCCUGCCGGCGGCA